GCAGGAGCCACCUUUCCUGCCGCAGAGCCCCAGGAGAGAGUGAGUGGCAGGGCGUCCCAGCAGCCGCUCCUCACCCCCACACCAGACGCGCAGCUAGCAGAGACUUGGACAGAGUCUGUGAGCCUGCAGGGAGAGGGGCUCGGGGUGCCGUCGUCUUCCCAGGAGGUGGGCACCGAGCCGGCCAUGUCCUCCGAGGACCUCCCGCUCAUCUUCGAGCCCUUCGAGGACGCCACGCCAGGGGGGGCCAUGGCCACGGCUCCCCCUCCUGGGGCAGAGUUGGCAUCGCAGCCGUCUGCCCCCGCCGAGCUGGCGACGGGCACGCUGACGGAGACAGACCUCGAGCAAACGGUUACCAUGGACGCAGACCGAGCCCUCUCGGAUAUCCCUCCCCCGGGAGUUGCCGAGUGGCCGUCGCCAUGGCAAACGUCUGGCGUGGAGAUGGCGGAGGCUGUCGAGCCGUCUCGUCAGCCAAUCAGCACGGCGUAUCCUGGGAGCCCAGCGGACCGCACUGGUGCUGACAUCACCCAGAACCCCAAGAGGACUCCUCCCACCUCCUCUGCCACCCUAUCAGCCAGCGUCACUCAGCAAAGCCCCAUGGCAACUGUUUCCAAGGCAGCACACUUUCCAGUGGCCAGACCGAAAUCUGGGCUGGAGGGGCUGGAGUCUGAGGGUGUGUGUGUGUGUGUGUGUGUGUGUGUGUGUGUGUGUGUGUGUGUGUGUGUGUGUGUGUGUGUGUGUGUGUGUGUGUGCACACGUAUUCACAUAGCCAUAGCUAAACAAGCCCUUACUACACACGCUGUACAUACACAUCAAUAAAAUGAUUAUAUCUUAAGAUAUAUACACACAUCUAUUAUAUAUACACACUUCUAUUAUAUGUACACACAUCUAUUAUAUAUACACACAUAAACACAAUAUAUAUACACACAUCUAUUAUAUAUACACACAUAAACACAGCAUAUAAACACACAUCUAUUAUAUAUACACACAUCUAUUAUAUAUUUACACACAUAAACACAACAUAUAAACAUGUCAUGUCAAAAGAAAUGAGCUAAAAGCCGCAUCUGAUGUAAGUUAGUAAUUAGUAAUUUAUUGAUUGAUUGAUUGAUUGAUUAGUAAUUAGUAAUUGAUGCUGGAGGUCUUUGGGUUAGUCCCUGACGAAAAAGAAAUGUUCUGCAUUUGCUUUAGAAGAGGAGGAUGAGGAGAACGAGGACACAGAGGACUCGGAGGAGGAAGAGGGGGAGGAAGAGGAGGAGAGCGACGAGGACCUGACGGGCGCCGCGGCUCCAGCUCCCACCCGCCCUCCAUACAGCCUCAUCCCCCCUCCUCCCGUGUGGGUGCAGCGGAACCAGGGCCUGGGUGAGCAGGAACACAGGGGCGCCUGUUAGAACCUAGAACCAGGGCCUGGGUGAGCAGGAACACAGGGGCGCCUGUUAG
rnacentral:lncRNA from 1 species